rnacentral:rRNA from 1 species
UCAGUGUGUGUGUUAGUGGAAGCGUCUGGAAAGGCGCGCGAUACAGGGUGACAGCCCCGUACACAAAAAUGCACAUGCUGUGAGCUCGAUGAGUAGGGCGGGACACGUGGUAUCCUGUCUGAAUAUGGGGGGACCAUCCUCCAAGGCUAAAUACUCCUGACUGACCGAUAGUGAACCAGUACCGUGAGGGAAAGGCGAAAAGAACCCCGGCGAGGGGAGUGAAAAAGAACCUGAAACCGUGUACGUACAAGCAGUGGGAGCACGCUUAGGCGUGUGACUGCGUACCUUUUGUAUAAUGGGUCAGCGACUUAUAUUCUGUAGCAAGGUUAACCGAAUAGGGGAGCCGAAGGGAAACCGAGUCUUAACUGGGCGUUAAGUUGCAGGGUAUAGACCCGAAACCCGGUGAUCUAGCCAUGGGCAGGUUGAAGGUUGGGUAACACUAACUGGAGGACCGAACCGACUAAUGUUGAAAAAUUAGCGGAUGACUUGUGGCUGGGGGUGAAAGGCCAAUCAAACCGGGAGAUAGCUGGUUCUCCCCGAAAGCUAUUUAGGUAGCGCCUCGUGAAUUCAUCUCCGGGGGUAGAGCACUGUUUCGGCAAGGGGGUCAUCCCGACUUACCAACCCGAUGCAAACUGCGAAUACCGGAGAAUGUUAUCACGGGAGACACACGGCGGGUGCUAACGUCCGUCGUGAAGAGGGAAACAACCCAGACCGCCAGCUAAGGUCCCAAAGUCAUGGUUAAGUGGGAAACGAUGUGGGAAGGCCCAGACAGCCAGGAUGUUGGCUUAGAAGCAGCCAUCAUUUAAAGAAAGCGUAAUAGCUCACUGGUCGAGUCGGCCUGCGCGGAAGAUGUAACGGGGCUAAACCAUGCACCGAAGCUGCGGCAGCGACGCUUAUGCGUUGUUGGGUAGGGGAGCGUUCUGUAAGCCUGCGAAGGUGUGCUGUGAGGCAUGCUGGAGGUAUCAGAAGUGCGAAUGCUGACAUAAGUAACGAUAAAGCGGGUGAAAAGCCCGCUCGCCGGAAGACCAAGGGUUCCUGUCCAACGUUAAUCGGGGCAGGGUGAGUCGACCCCUAAGGCGAGGCCGAAAGGCGUAGUCGAUGGGAAACAGGUUAAUAUUCCU